GGGUCUGUAGCUUAAUCGGUAAAGCGUCUAACUGGCUGUUAGAAAGUUGUCGGUACCCUGCGGGAAGCCGCUUUGCGUCUACAAUUCCGACCAGUAUCCACCA
rnacentral:tRNA from 1 species